rnacentral:rRNA from 1 species
GAUGAACGCUGACAGAAUGCUUAACACAUGCAAGUCUACUUGAAGCACUUUCGGGUGUGGAUGGUGGCGGACGGGUGAGUAACGCGUAAAUAACUUGCCCCCUAGUCUGGGACAACUGUUGGAAACGACAGCUAAUACUAGAUAUUAUGAAGCUUUGGCAUCAAGGUUUUAUGAAAGCUAUAUGCGCUAGGGGAGAGAUUUGCGUCCUAUUAGCUAGUUGGUGAGGUAAUGGCUCACCAAGGCGACGAUAGGUAGCCGGCCUGGGAGGGUCAACGGCCACAAGGGGACUGGGACACCGCCCUUCCUCAUACGGGAGGCAGCAGUGGGGAAUGUUGGACAAUGCACCAAAAGGCUGAUCCAGAAAUUCUGUGUGCUUGAUGAAGGCCUUCGGGUUGUAAAGAGCUUUAAGUAGGGAAGAAGAAAGUGACGGUACCUACAGAAUAAGCGACGGCUAAAUACGUGCCAGCCGCCGCCGUAA